rnacentral:rRNA from 1 species
ACGGGUGAGUAAUACAUAGGUAACCUGCCCCUGUGCGGGGGAUAACAGGAGGAAACUCCUGCUAAUACCGCAUAGCCAUGAGCACCGCAUGGAGCUCAUGCCAAAUAUCCUUUAUGGGAUAGCGCAGGGAUGGACCUAUGGCGCAUUAGCUGGUUGGCGGGGCAACGGCCCACCAAGGCAACGAUGCGUAGCCGGCCUGAGAGGGCGGAUGGCCACAUUGGGACUGAGACACGGCCCAGACUCCUACGGGAGGCAGCAGUAGGGAAUCUUCGGCAAUGGGGGAAACCCUGACCGAGCAACGCCGCGUGAGCGAAGAAGGCCUUCGGGUCGUAAAGCUCUGUUGUAAAGGAAGAACGGCGCAUACAGGAAAUGGUAUGCGAGUGACGGUACUUUACCAGAAAGCCACGGCUAACUACGUGCCAGCAGCCGCGGUAAUACGUAGGUGGCGAGCGUUAUCCGGAAUCAUUGGGCGUAAAGAGGGAGCAGGCGGCCGCAAGGGUCUGUGGUGAAAGACCGAAGCUAAACUUCGGUAAGCCAUGGAAACCGGGCGGCUAGAGUGCGGAAGAGGAUCGUGGAAUUCCAUGUGUAGCGGUGAAAUGCGUAGAUAUAUGGAGGAACACCAGUGGCGAAGGCGACGGUCUGGGCCGCAACUGACGCUCAUUCCCGAAAGCGUGGGGAGCAAAUAGGAUUAGAUACCCUAGUAGUCCACGCCGUAAACGAUGGUCACUAAGUGUCGGGGGUCAAACCCCGGUGCUGCAG